UACGUAGGGUGCGAGCGUUAAUCGGAAUUCCUGGGCGUAAAGCGUGCGCAGGCGGUGAUGUAAGGCCGAUGUGAAAUCCCCGGGCUUAACCUGGGAACUGCAUUGGUGACUGCAUCGCUCGAGUAUGGCAGAGGGGGGUAGAAUUCCACGUGUAGCAGUGAAAUGCGUAGAGAUGUGGAGGAAUACCGAUGGCGAAGGCAGCCCCCUGGGUCAAUACUGACGCUCAUGCACGAAAGCGUGGGGAGCAAACAGG
rnacentral:rRNA from 1 species